rnacentral:lncRNA from 1 species
AUUCUCCUCACAAAGUUUCAAAAAGCAAGAAAGGUAUGUAUCCCCUCAAAAGAGCAAAAGUAGAAUUAGACUUCCAUCACCAUUGUUUCCACCAUUGUUAUCACCAUCAUCACCAUACACCAUUCAUUCGCCACACAUGCACAUCUUGAUUUGGCUUAUUGAUUUGUUUCUUUGGAUCCAUAGUUUGACUAUGCAAUAAAUGUCUUGUAAGUAUGUAUAUUUUAUCUCCCACCUAUGAGCUCCAGAUAUUAAAGCCUUAUUAGAGUAGGGUGAGAGAGAAGACAAUGUCACUAUGCUUUAUACCACAAAUACUACAUAUCUUGAGAGAAGGCAUAUACCAUCACUGCCUUGGUAAGGAUCCAGAAAUACCACAAAAGAGAGAUCUGAGAGAGUCAUACAAGGAAUCUCUGAGUUUUAUUUGAAAAUCUGCAAAAAAAACCCAGAUCUAUAGCUGAUCAAGAAUAAGAGACAUGGCACUUGGCUAGACUGUUCUAUCUUUUAACUACUCAAGAUAGAAGUGACAGUUACAAGUCCCAUGGUGAAGGUAAAGUAAGUAAGUUUUAAGUCUUGACAGUUUACUCUAACUCAG